UUCCUCCACAUUCCUUAUUCCUCAAACCUAAAUAUUGGUCUGAGUAGCUAUAAAAAGAGGAAAAGUAAAAUUGAAAUGGACUUCAAGUCUUUAAUGAUAAGAAGUUCACUUCAAACAAAA
rnacentral:snoRNA from 1 species